rnacentral:rRNA from 1 species
UCUUGGCCAGCCUUCUGAAAGGAAGAUUAAUCCAGGAUGGCAUCAUGAGUUCACAUGUCCGCAUGAUUAAAGGUAUUUUCCGGUAGACGAUGGGGAUGCGUUCCAUUAGAUAGUAGGCGGGGUAACGGCCCACCUAGUCAACGAUGGAUAGGGGUUCUGAGAGGAAGGUCCCCCACAUUGGAACUGAGACACGGUCCAAACUCCUACGGGAGGCAGCAGUGAGGAAUAUUGGUCAAUGGGCGAUGGCCUGAACCAGCCAAGUAGCGUGAAGGAUGACUGCCCUAUGGGUUGUAAACUUCUUUUAUAAAGGAAUAAAGUCGGGUAUGCGUACCCGUUUGCAUGUACUUUAUGAAUAAGGAUCGGCUAACUCCGUGCCAGCAGCCGCGGUAAUACGGAGGAUCCGAGCGUUAUCCGGAUUUAUUGGGUUUAAAGGGAGCGUAGAUGGAUGUUUAAGUCAGUUGUGAAAGUUUGCGGCUCAACCGUAAAAUUGCAGUUGAUACUGGAUGUCUUGAGUGCAGUUGAGGCAGGCGGAAUUCGUGGUGUAGCGGUGAAAUGCUUAGAUAUCACGAAGAACUCCGAUUGCGAAGGCAGCCUGCUAAGCUGCAACUGACAUUGAGGCUCGAAAGUGUGGGUAUCAAACAGGAUUAGAUACCCUGGUAGUCCACACGGUAAACGAUGAAUACUCGCUGUUUGCGAUAUACGGCAAGCGGCCAAGCGAAAGCGUUAAGUAUUCCACCUGGGGAGUACGCCGGCAACGGUGAAACUCAAAGGAAUUGACGGGGGCCCGCACAAGCGGAGGAACAUGUGGUUUAAUUCGAUGAUACGCGAGGAACCUUACCCGGGCUUAAAUUGCACUCGAAUGAUCCGGAAACGGUUCAGCUAGCAAUAGCGAGUGUGAAGGUGCUGCAUGGUUGUCGUCAGCUCGUGCCGUGAGGUGUCGGCUUAAGUGCCAUAACGAGCGCAACCCUUGUUGUCAGUUACUAACAGGUGAUGCUGAGGACUCUGACAAGACUGCCAUCGUAAGAUGUGAGGAA